GUGGCUGUAGCUUAUUGGUAAAGUGCCCCGCUGUGAACGGGGAGAACAGGGUUCGAGCCCCGCAGCGCACC
rnacentral:tRNA from 1 species